UUUAGAGCACCAACUGUUCUUCCAGAGGUCCUGAGUUCAAUUCCCAACAACCACACGGUGGCUCACAACCAUCUGUAAUGGGAUCCAAGGCCGCCUUCUGGUGUAUCUGAGAGAGCGACAGUGUACUCAUAUACGUAAAAUAAAAAUAAUAAAAGAAAGAAAGAAACAGGUGGAUUUGAUGUUUGGGAGGCAGUACUAAUACUUGUUGGUAAAUCCGGGUAUGAGGAGUAAGGAUGAGCAAGGAAUCAUGGGUCAUAUGAGGCCUCCAGUCUGAAGACCUGAUCAAGUGAGGGUUCCAUAUUCUGACAUAGACACUGUCUUAGGUGGAGUUUCUGCUGCUGUGAUAAACACUGACCAAAAGCAACCUGAGGAGGGAAAGUUACACAAUGAUCAUUAUCCAUUAAAAAGGGAGGCCAGGGCAGAGACCUGGAGUUAGGAACUGAAACAGAGGCCACGGGGGAUACCAUUGACUGGAUUGCUCCCCCCUCCCCCCAUUGCUCAGCCCUCUUUCUUAUCCCACUCCUGACCUACCCAGGGGUGGCACCACCUCCAAUGUGGUGGCCUUCCCACAUCAACCAGUAGUCAAGAAGGUAACCCUGCAGACUUCCCUACAGGCUAAUAACCCUCGCCCCGAUGCAGGCACUUCCUUAAUUGAAGUUCCCUCUUCACGGAUGGCUCUAGCUUGUGCCAGGCUCACUGAAGACUAGGAGCCACAGCACAGUGAACAGUGAUCUGAGAACUCAGGAGUCCCGGGAGGAGGAAAGCUGCCAGACCACAAGGAGAGCCUAAAUCCUGCCACCUAUGAGCUUGGUGACCCUGGGUAACCACUUAAUCAGUCUAAAUCUCAGUUUUCUCGUCUGCAGCUGGGGAUCACCCUUCCUCCCUGUGGAGUGCAACCUACUGAGUGCUGAGCACAGUGCCAAGAGCAUAGUAGGCACUCUGAUAAUGACAUCUAUGAUCAUUACUGUAAUUAGGUCAUCUCUGACUGCCAAAACGUUGUUUCUGCUCGAGUCAAGAUCUGUGUCCCGCAAUCUCUCAUCUCAUUCUGCCCUCUGUACCAACAAACAGCUCUCCUUCCUUCAUGAAGUCAUAUUCUCCAAGAGACCCUUCUCCUUCAUCUGAAUGUCCCUCAUGUGUCCUUGCAGGAGGGUCCCUGGUUUGCUUGCUUUCCUUUGGGGAGUUCCACUUUUAUCUUUUUUUUUCUUUAGAUAGGACAAUGGACCCCAUUACCUCAUCAAGCAGGGAAAACCAAAGCACAGCUGAUAAAUUUCAGAAAAUAUUUUUUCUACCUUUAAUAGAUACCAGGAUUUUUGCUGGGAUGGGACUUGAAACUCUUGUAAUAUUGAAGCCUGUGCUUUGUCCCUGAUGCUCACAUGGGCACGUAGGCUAUGGAUUUAAUUGCCCAGACUGUAUCUCUGUGUUGUUGUUGUUGUUGUUGUUGCCAUUUGUGUGUGUGUAGGUCCACAUGUAUGUACAUGCAUACUCAUGCAUGAAUAUGUCCAUGUAUGUGUAUGUAUGCACACAGAGGUCAGAGGUCAGCUGAGGGUGUCCUUCUUCAGGAGCGAUGUACCUUGUGCUUUGAGACAGGGUUUCUCACUAGCCUGGAGUUAGGCUAGGCUGGUUGGUCACAGAGCCCUGGAGCCCUGCCUGUGUCUGCCUCGCCAGUACAGGGAUUAGAAGCAUACAUCACUACAGCCAGCAUUUGAGUUCGGUUUCUCGGAAUCUAACUCUGGUCCUCCUGCUUGGUCUGUACUGACUGAGCUCGCCCUACCUCUCCAGACCCCAGACGCUGUGAUUACAUCUUUGAGUCUCUCUUCCUCAUUCUAACCCAGAUCCCCAAAUCAGACACCUUACUGUCUGGUCCUUCUUGAUAGACCCCAUGAUAGACCCCACCACCAAUCCUUCUGAGGAUGCCAGCAGGCACUUGGCUCCUAACCAGACACCUGACCAUCCUCCAACUCCUUCCGUCAUCUGGACCAUCUGAAUAGAUGCGAUGCUCUCGCAUGGCCCGGGGACCAUCUGUUGUAACUGAUCCAGCUUCUCACUCCUCCCCAGCCCGUCUUGGUUUUCCAAGUGUGCUCUCCCAGUUAUCUUCUCUUCCCACCCCCAUCGCUUUGUCUAAUCAAUCUCACAACCGCCUCUGCUGUCUGCAUCUCCCUUCUCUCUUAGGACCACAUUUCCCUCUCUGUAUCCUCUGAUCUUCUCUUCCUGCGAUCAUCACCCAGCUCUGGCUCCUCCAGGACUGAAAUCCCGCCCUGUGGCCAGCAGACCAAUGACGCUGCUCUGUCUAUGAUCUCCACAUCUUUGGUUCAGCCCAGCUAUUUUGGUCGGCUGUACCUGCAAUUCUUCUCACUUUCCUCUGGGUUUUACACCUCUUUUGGCACUUAGAAGGUGUCAGACAUCUUAGAGUUAGUUAACUGCUGUCAAGGUUAGACGUCUGCCAUGGCUGGUGAUUGAUUAAUGGGUCAGGGUAUAAAAAGAUGGAAGGAAAGCCAUUCCAUUUAAAACAGAAGGAGGCUUGCUUCUUUUAGUGGGCUUUAUCUUUGUUCUUUUCUUUAGAUAGGACAAUAGACGCCAUUACCUCUUCAAACAGGGAAAACCAAAGCACAGCUGAUAAAUUUCAGAAAAUAUUUUUUCUAACUUUACCAGAUAUCAAGAUUUACCCUGGGUUCUUCUUGUCCAUUCCUUAUUAAGCCUUCCCAAGAUGGUACUCAGACAAUGCUUCACAGACCAACUGCUCACUCAUUCACUUGUUCAUGAACUUAGUGACUAAUGAAUCAGACACUGUGCUAAAUACUGUGACAGGUU
rnacentral:lncRNA from 1 species